rnacentral:sRNA from 1 species
UCGCACCGUGUUCUAUAGCUUCAGUCUCACACAACUAUUCAAAAGUUCAACAUCUAAAUUUCUAUUAAAUUUAAUUCUGCAAAAAUGUUCAUCGGUCCAGUCCAAAAGGAACAUCUGCACAACAUGAUCCUAGGUUGUGGCUGGCCUUGCGGGUCGUUGAGCGGUCCCUGCUGCUGCAGCGGUUGCUGCGGCAGUUGUUGUGGUAGCUGUUGCGGUGGGUGCUGCGGUGGCUGUUAACAUUGAAUGAGGGGACAAGGACUACACAAGGAUCGAUGUCAACUGAUGUGCAGAAACAUAUAAAAUACAUUCACCAUCUGCUAUUUAAUAUGAAGUGAGGCUGAAAAAUCGACCAUCAUUUGAAAAUCCGAAGUUGUAUUACCUGUGGGCUAAGGAAUGGAGUUAAAUGCUGCAGAUCCCUAAAAAAAAAAAGAGAACAGUUGUUUCGGAACUACAGGAAUGCAGAUUUAGAUAUUUUUUAAAAUAAGAAAAUUUUGCACAAGAUCAAAUAAAAAAUUUUGUUUUGAAAAAUGAA